ensembl:misc_RNA 7SK 7SK RNA
ACAAGUAAGGACGAUCUGGCUGUGACAUCUGUCACCCCAUUGAUCGCCAGGGUUGAUUCAGCUGAUCUGGCUGGCUAGUUGGGUGACCCCUUCCUCCCUCACUGCUCCAUGUGCGUCCCUCCCGAAGCUGCGCGCUCCAUCGAAGAGGAGGGCCUUCCCCAAUAGAGAUGAGCCAGUCUUCGGCUGAGGGUAUAUGAGUAGCUGCGCCCCACUACUAGAACCUCCAAACAAGCUCUCAAAAGCCAUAUUAGGGACAUAACAUUAGGAUAGCAGGAGCCAGGAGGGAAAGUAAUAGACCCGUGAGAUU